AUAUAUUGGCAUCCCAUGUUUCCAGUUUGAACCCUGACUGAAAGGGCUUUAACUCACUCAUUUCAAUCCUUCUUUCAGUCAGCUCUUAUCCAGUUGAUCCUGUUUCUCUUUUUAAGUACAUUUAUUUUCCAAAUCCAUAUCACCUCCCAUUUUCCUCCUCAGGCCCAGGAAAAUUUGUUUAUAACCUUUGGAAAUAAACAGUAAUGUUGCAGUUACGACUGCUGCUACCUGUUGCAACCCUAGCUUCUGUUUCAACAAAAAUGAGAAGACUUGCUUACGUUUUGGGGGAGGAGAAAGAAUUGAAGCAUACAAACCAGUUUGGCAGAACUCCGAUAGCAGUUCUGUGCAAGUGGAGCCCUAACCACAUUUCUGUUCCUACACUGCUCUGUCCAGCAGUAGUAGUUUUUUUUUUUAAUCAUUCUAAGUCAUUUGCUGAAUCUAGAGGACAGCAUGAAGCUGUUCGCCACCUUUCUCCUUGGGGGCCUUCUAGCUCUUUGGAUGGGAUUCCCCUCCACAACUGGGAGCCACCUCCCAACAGGCUUCCCUAUUGAUGAAAAUGGUUUGACAACUCUGUGUAAAACUUCAACAAUUUUACAGCAUCUUAUGAUCCUUUCAUCAGCCUCAGAAGUGUUUCUUGAUCAAGAGAUGAAAACAGCAAGAUAUUUGCUACACUGUUUUACUCCUGAUUAUUUCAGAGAACUUUCCUUUCUUUCUUUCCUUCUUUCUUCUUUUCCUUCCUUCCUUCCUUCCUUCCUUCCUUCCUUCUUUUGGGUGGGCACAGCUUAUUAUAAUGAUAAUGAAAUAUUAUGAAAAAUGAAGAAAGAUGAUUCAUUAUAAUGGAAAUUAUUGUUUCUCUAUCAUAAAUAAAAUAGUAUCUCAAA